rnacentral:rRNA from 1 species
UACGUAGGUGGCGAGCGUUGUCCGGAAUUACUGGGUGUAAAGGGAGCGUAGGCGGGAACGCAAGUUGAAUGUGAAAACUAUGGGCUCAACCGAUAGUUGCGUUCAAAACUGCGAAUCUUGAGUGAAGUAGAGGCAGGCGGAAUUCCUAGUGUAGCGGUAAAAUGCGUAGAUAUUAGGAGGAACACCAGUGGCGAAGGCGGCCUGCUGGACUGUAACUGACGUUGAGGCUCGAAAGCGUGGGGAGCAAACAGG